UGGAACACUGUGGUGCUCUGCUUAUCCCCUACUUCCAAAGCCCCUAGGAAGUCAUGAGAAGUGGAGCAUCAGACCGUUCCUGAGACUGCUUUAACCUUCAUGGGGGAGGAGGCUAAUCAUGGGUCAAGGUUGCUGCUUUCUGAAAAAGCCAGUGAGAGGUGAAAGCAUUACAGAGAAAACAUAUAUUAAAACCAAUACAAGAACCUACACGUGUUAAUGAGCUUACGAGAGAUCAUCCCAACUCCACCAAUGGCUCUGAUGUGCCCUUGAGGGUCUCCUCUUGCACACUGGCUGAGCGGCUCCAUCUGGUAAGGAAAUGAAACAGGACGAGUAAGGAAGACAUGUUCUGAGAAGUGCUGCGAUCCUCUGAUGCUUUGGAUUGCAAGCAGAAAGCAUGGCGAGAGGCUAUCAAUGAGAAACUGUGAAUGGAGAGCCAGGAGAGGAAACAGGGGCAGGAGCGGAUGAUAAAGCUGCUCCAGGACCAAACAGACAUGCUGAGGUCCCUGAUUGAACUUCAGGCAGAACACAUGUGCUUGCCUCCCCCUGCAGCCCAUACAAAACUGUCUUCCAAGCCCUCCCCAUACUCCCACACACACAUUCCUCACGUGUUCUUAGGCCAUCGUAGUACCCCCUGCACUCCACCCCAAGGGACAUGUUUCACAAUGACAGUUGUGACAUACACCCAGCUGUGAGAGCCUUGUUGGCAAA